AGUGAACGCUGGCGGCGUGCUUAACACAUGCAAGUCGAACGAGAACGGGUUAUAGCUUGCUAUAAUUGUCAGCUAAGCGGCGCACGGGUGAGUAAUGUAUAGGUAAUAUGCCUCUUACUAAGGGAUAACAAAUGGAAACGUUUGCUAAUACCUUAUACUCCUUAUUAACAGAAGUUAAUAAGGGAAAGAUUUAUUGGUAAGAGAUUAGCCUGUAUUGUAUCAGUUAGUUGGUGGGGUAAUGGCUUACCAAGACUAUGACACAUAACUGGUUUGAGAGGAUGAUGAGUCACACUGGAACUGAGACACGGUCCAGACUCCUACGGGAGGCAGCAGUGGGGAAUAUUGCACAAUGGACGAAAGUCUGAUGCAGCAACGCCGCGUGGAGGAUGACACAUUUCGGUGCGUAAACUCCUUUUAUAUGAGAAGAUAAUGACGGUAUUAUAUGAAUAAGCACCGGCUAACUCCGUGCCAGCCGCCGCAGUAA
rnacentral:rRNA from 1 species